rnacentral:rRNA from 1 species
CAGUCGCCACGGUAAUACGAAGGGUGCAAGCGUUAAUCGGAAUUACUGGGCGUAAAGCGUGCGUAGGCGGUGAGUUAAGUCUGCUGUGAAAUCCCCGGGCUCAACCUGGGAAUGGCAGUGGAUACUGGCUCGCUUGAGUGUGUCAGAGGAUGGUGGAAUUCCCGGUGUAGCGGUGAAAUGCGUAGAGAUCGGGAGGAACAUCAGUGGCGAAGGCGGCCAUCUGGGACAACACUGACGCUGAGGCACGAAAGCGUGGGGAGCAAACAGGAUUAGAUACCCGCGUAGUCCCUGUCUCUUAUAC